ensembl:lncRNA
AGUGGACAUCCCUGCUCCCUCUUAUCUGCUGGCAAGGCCCAGAAGAUGAUAACAAAGGAAUUUCUGCUGAGAUCCCAGAGCCAGUAUCUGCCACUCCAAGGAGAGCUGACUCAACCACUUUGGACUUAUAAAUAAGUUUGUACUGCCAUUGCAGUUGUCGUUCUCACCGUGGACACCGUUGUCAAGAGAACAACAACGCCCGACAACCCACCACUACUGAAGAUCAAUGACUGGACUACGAACCACGUUGGACCAUGGUGUGUAAGGGCAUAAUAUCUGACCAGGAAGAUCAGUUGGUUAUCCUACGUACAGAAUGAGUUCGCAUCUUGUGUCAUGGUUUUAUGAUUUUUGGUCAUCAGUAUUCCACAUCACAACAUCAUGCAGUGUACUGGGAGUUAAAGAGCAAAUGCUUUAGUUCCGGGUACCUGUCUGGAAGAGAAGAAGAACUACGUUCCGCAAGAGCCUUUUUGAGUACUGUUAUCAUUCCUGCUCAGGGGAACAGAUAUAAGGACGCAGGUCAUCUGACUCGUCCCUCUUCUUGUCUUGCCAUGUUCCCUGCCAGAUCAGCUCGCUACUGCUGCUCCCGACUGCACGCAAGGCUUCAGUAUUAGCGUAAGGCCUUUGGCUGUUGGACAAUCUUUCUCUCAAUUAUUGUUGUUUUAUAUUGUAUUAUAGUGUGUUAUCUUACAUUCCGAUACUAUAUUUAGUAAAUUAGUUUGUUU